GACCUAUCAGCUUUCGACGGUAGUGUAUUGGACUACCGUGGCAGUGACGGGUAACGGGGAAUUAGGGUUCGAUUCCGGAGAGGGAGCCUGAGAAACGGCUACCACAUCUAAGGAAGGCAGCAGGCGCGCAAAUUACCCAAUCCUGACUCAGGGAGGUAGUGACAAGAAAUAACAACACUGGAAAUUUUAUUUCUAGUGAUUGGAAUGAUGGGAAUCCAAACCCCUUUCAGAGUAACAAUUGGAGGGCAAGUCUGGUGCCAGCAGCCGCGGUAAUUCCAGCUCCAAUAGCGUAUAUUAAAGUUGUUGCAGUUAAAAAGCUCGUAGUUGGAUAUCUGCUGGAAGCAAUCAGUCCGCCCUAUUUUAGGGUGUGCACUUGAUGAAUUCUGGCAUCUAUUAUCCUUAAUAUAGUCAUGAUUUUCAGUAAUUGUGACAUAUUAUUAGGGAUAAUACAGUUACUUUGAGAAAAUUAGAGUGUUUGAAGCAGGCUUGUUGCCUUGAAUACUGCAGC
rnacentral:rRNA from 1 species